GACGAACGCUGGCGGCGUGCCUAAUACAUGCAAGUUGAGCGCUGAAGGUUGGUACUUGUCCCCACUGGAUGAGCAGCGAACGGGUGAGUAACGCGUGGGGAAUCCGCCUUUGAGCGGGGGACAACAUUUGGAAACGAAUGCUAAUACCGCAUAAAAACUUUAAACACAAGUUUUAAGUUUGAAAGAUGCAAUUGCAUCACUCAAAGAUGAUCCCGCGUUGUAUUAGCUAGUUGGUGAGGUAAAGGCUCACCAAGGCGAUGAUACAUAGCCGACCUGAGAGGGUGAUCGGCCACAUUGGGACUGAGACACGGCCCAAACUCCUACGGGAGGCAGCAGUAGGGAAUCUUCGGCAAUGGACGAAAGUCUGACCGAGCAACGCCGCGUGAGUGAAGAAGGUUUUCGGAUCGUAAAACUCUGUUGGUAGAGAAGAACGUUGGUGAGAGUGGAAAGCUCAUCAAGUGACGGUAACUACCCAGAAAGGGACGGCUAACUACGUG
rnacentral:rRNA from 1 species